rnacentral:rRNA from 1 species
UACGUAGGGUCCGAGCGUUGUCCGGAAUUACUGGGCGUAAAGAGCUCGUAGGUGGUUUGUCGCGUUGUCCGUGAAAACUCACAGCUUAACUGUGGGCGUGCGGGCGAUACGGGCAGACUGGAGUACUGCAGGGGAGACUGGAAUUCCUGGUGUAGCGGUGGAAUGCGCAGAUAUCAGGAGGAACACCGGUGGCGAAGGCGGUUCUCUGGGAAUAUCCUGACGCUGAGGAGCGAAAGUGUGGGGAGCGAAACAGG